UAGCUGGAGAGUGACGAGGAGAGUAAGAGAGGAGUUAAGGACAUAGAUCCAGGACAGAUCAUGAAGGGUCUCCUUACACCAAGCAAAGUUAACAUCAAGGAGGCUGAGUCCCUAGAGAAAUGUCAUUCAACCUGUUUCAAGGAAUUGUCAAUGGACUGAGUAACAGAAGGGCUGCUGUAACAGAGCUUGCUGAUGGAUAUCAGGCUGUGCCAGUUCUGCUUACUAUUGGACCUAUUGAACGUGAUGUUCUGCUUCCUCUCCAUAACUGAACUUCUAAAUGAUCACAUCAUUGUGCAUGUGGCGAGCUCUGUGGAUGCUUAUAAACAUUUGAACACUGCUUCUCUGUGCCUGAAGAAGAUAAUUUUAAAUUUUUGUUAAAAGUUCCAUCCUGAGAAACAUUAAAUCUGUGUUUGAAACAGGUUGCGCCUACCUAAAAUGUAUGUUUAAUAAAAUAUUUAAGCAUGCUUGAAAAUUCUCAAGUAAUAAGCAAGUGAAAAUUAUGAAAAG